rnacentral:lncRNA from 1 species
AGAGAGUCCAAGUCCAAACAGCUGAGUUUCAGGAAAAAGUCCAUGGACUGAAGAUAUGCCUCUUGGACAUAUCUGAAAGUCCCUUUUGGUCCUGAAACAGGCUUGCUGCAGAAAGGUCCAUCAAUAGUUAUCAAAAGUCCAUUGACAGUCACAAAACAAUUUCAAACAAUUUUGAGACUUCUGGAAUGUCCUCGCCACAGCCCGUUUUUGAACACUUUUGGGCUGAAGCCAAGUUUUUGGCCCUUCAAUGCUUCAGAGCUGCUGCCAGCUAUUUCAAGUCUUUUUAUUUAAUUAUUUAUUUAUUUAUUUAAUCAGAAAAAGCAGCAGCAGAGGAGCCAGAGAGGCCCUGGGGGGCCCUGGCCCAUGUGGACGGACCAGGAACCCCAGAUCUGGCCCACAAAAGGUGGGCCAGGACCGGUAGGGGAAAGCAAAACCCCCAAACCCAUCAGGAGGCCGGGAGGUGGCCCUGUCCCAGGGACCCAAGCCCAACAGCCCAGGCCCAACCCACGAGGCAGGCUCUGCCUUGCCACAGGCCUACACCCUGCUGCCAGUACAAUGGCAGAACGGGUGGUGAGAUGCUUCUUUUCCCCUAAAUCACCAAGGCAUGCCAGCAGUGAGGGAAUAGAAGCAGCCCCAAGCGCCCUCAUCUCGGGUCUAGGAAUGUUUCUUCCCCACAGCAAGCAAGCCAUGAUAGCUUCCCGCUGUGCCCAAUGCAAAUGCAAACAGGUGUGUCUCCCAUCUGCCUCAUGGCACCACCGCCUCGGGGCUGGGGACCAAAGGUGGAACUUUCAGGACCCACCUGCCCCUCGCCGCUGGGGCUCACGAGGGGCGGCAGAGAUUCGCAUCCCCCAAGGGAAAGCAACUGACCAACCACUUCCCAACCCACCGAGAACGCUGAUUUUGAACGGCGGCAGACGGGCUGCCCCCGCCCCCAGAUGUCAGGCCAUGCCUCCUCCAUGGAAGGAGAGGCCGACGCCCUCUUCCCCUGUCCCAGCUGCCCCCGCAGGGGCAGCCCCGGGACAGCCCGAAAAACUCGGGGGGGAAAUCGCGCUGGGUGCAGGAGCCGCCGCGGCAGCUGCUGCCAGGAGCGGUGGGACCGCAGGCUGCUCUGCCUCUGCGGGAGGGCCUGCUGGGCACGGCACGGGGUCGGCAGCGUCUUCUGCUGGCUCUGGGAUCGGCUGCGGAGGCGGCGAGGGCAGAGAGGGGGCUGGCGGAGGUGGCAAGGCUGGUGAAGGGGCAGGCAGGACCGCACGGGGGGGCGGCUGCGGGGGACGUCCCGGCGGUGCUCGCGGGGCUGGCCGGGGCGGGGCUCGUGGUGCCGGCCGGGGUGGAGCCGCCCACUCUUCAUCCCCCGGAAAGAGAGAAGGGGGGGAGAAAGACCGCUCCAUCUGAGCAUGCUCCGAAGACGCAGAGAAAAAAAUCG